rnacentral:rRNA from 1 species
UACAGGGGGGGCAAGCGUUGUUCGGAAUUACUGGGCGUAAAGGGCUCGUAGGCGGCCAACUAAGUCACACGUGAAAUCCCCAGGCUUAACCUGGGAACUGCGUGUGAUACUGGAUGGCUUGAAUUCGGGAGAGGGAUGCGGAAUUCCAGGUGUAGCGGUGAAAUGCGUAGAUAUCUGGAGGAAUACCGGUGGCGAAGGCGGCAUCCUGGACCGACAUUGACGCUGAGGAGCGAAAGCUAGGGGAGCAAACGGG